rnacentral:rRNA from 1 species
AGCGGCAGGCCUAAUACAUGCAAGUCGAGGGGUAACAGGAAGUGCUUGCACUUCGCUGACGACCGGCGCACGGGUGAGUAUCGCGUAUACAAUCUGCCUCAUACUGGGGAAUAGCCCGAAGAAAUUUGGAUUAAUACCCCAUAGUAUCUUUUUAAGGCAUCUUAUUAAGAUUAAAGGUUACGGUAUGAGAUGAGUAUGCGUUCUAUUAGCUAGUAGGUGUGGUAACGGCACACCUAGGCUUCGAUAGAUAGGGGCCCUGAGAGGGGGACCCCCCACACUGGUACUGAGACACGGACCAGACUCCUACGGGAGGCAGCAGUAAGGAAUAUUGGUCAAUGGACGAAAGUCUGAACCAGCCAUGCCGCGUGCAGGAUGACUGCCCUAUGGGUUGUAAACUGCUUUUAUAUAGGAAGAAAAACUUUCUCGUGAGAGAGCUUGACGGUACUAUAAGAAUAAGGAUCGGCUAACUCCGUGCCAGCAGCCGCGGUAAUACGGAGGAUCCAAGCGUUAUCCGGAAUCAUUGGGUUUAAAGGGUCCGUAGGUGGACAAAUAAGUCAGAGGUGAAAUCCUGCAGCUCAACUGUAGAACUGCCUUUGAUACUGUUUGUCUUGAGUUAUUAUGAAGUGGUUAGAAUGUGUAGUGUAGCGGUGAAAUGCAUAGAUAUUACACAGAAUACCGAUUGCGAAGGCAGAUCACUAAUAAUUAACUGACACUGAGGGACGAAAGCGUGGGUAGCGAACAGGAUUAGAUACCCUGGUAGUCCACGCCGUAAACGAUGGUCACUAGCUGUUUGGACUUCGGUCUGAGUGGCUAAGCGAAAGUGAUAAGUGACCC